CUUACAAUCGUCCCUCCCCCGGGCGGGCGGGCAGUGCUAUGCGGUGUGUCCCCGUCCCUCCCCCCGGGCGGGCGGGCGAUCUGCGCUGUCUCUCUCCCCCCGGCAGGCCGUGCGAGCGCGGCGGGGCGGGCACUUACCGCUCCGACAGAUGGAGAAGCUUCGUCGUCCUCCUCCGGUGACGGCGGCCCGAUCUUGCUGCAGUGUAUAAUAUAUGCAAAUCUCCCAGCAAUCAAACGGUGCUAUUGCCCACCCUUGUGCUGAAAGCAGUUCUAGGGAGGUCAGCCAGAAAGAAGAAAAGUGAAGACUUGAUGUAUGGCCUGUAUUAGGUGGAAAGCAGUAUAAAGAUGACAGAAGUGCCUGUUCCAUAGACUUAUGGAAUAAAAUGAAGAGUCAAGAAUUGGAGUGGACUGUAUAAAUACAGAGCACUGAAUAAGAAUGUGGACUGGGAUUGUGGUCCAAAAGGUGUAUAUUUUCACAAAAUUUGCAAGGCUGUCUUCAUAUCUAAAAGGAAGCUGCAGCAAGAUGUACAUAAAAACAAAGAUGAAAUGCUAGUACCUAGUGCUGAGCAUUGCAACACUGAGCAAAUUAUCAUAGUUCAUCACCACUGACUGCUACCAGGAAUCAGAUGUGAUGGCCUUUACAAUAAAUAUUAAGACACAAGAAAACAUCACCAAGUGAUCGGUUCUAGACGACAGAAAUUCCAGAGGCUCAACAAAUGUUAUUCAAGCGCAUGCAUUAUGUUAGAUUUGAAUGAAAGAACCAAGAAUAUUAGAGUCUUCUAAAAGACUUUCAAUCUUUAUACAGAUUUGUAAGUAGUCAUGGGACAAACCUAGCCACAAUAAGGGAGAUACUUCAGAAGGAGUUUUCCAACAUUUGGGUUUUAUGACUGUCUGCAUGUGAACAAGAGUGCUCUAGUGUUCAACAAACAACAGGUGGAAGCUACAUUGAGACAGCAUCAGUGAUAAACUGUUAUUCCACAGGGUUGCCAUGUGUUUGCCUACGAUUCUGUUUAGUGAAGCAAGGUUGAUGUGACCAAUACGUAAGGAAGAACAAGAGAAUUCAAAAGAACCUAAAGACCCAUGUAAAUGUAUAACAUGGCUCAGAAAAACUGCUAUUAAGGGGCAUUAGAUAUUACUGUGAUUAUUGAAGCAGAUUCUAACAUGGGCAUUACUGAUUGGCCUUCUAGGCCCCUUCCAACUCUACUAUACUGGGAAGCAAAUAGCAUUUCAGGCUGAAGUUCAAAAUAAACUAAUUUGGAGGUUUAGAAAAUACAUAUUUUAUGUUGUCAGAAACUGACUCUCAAAUACCCUUAUUUGGAGACAAAAAAAAUGUUGCCUAGAAGUUCUGAAAAACAAAAUUCACCUAUUUUUUCUUAAAUUUGGGGGAGAGUCUUCUUAGCCCAAUAUAUUCUUCACCCAUAUAAGGUAUUAAAACAGCCAUCAGAAUCCUACUAUUUUGCCCCUGUUAUCAUCCAAGUGCAAACUGGAAGUUGUUUCAUUGCACAUUUUAAUCCUGCUAUUUUGUACUAUGAAAAAUGUCCAUAUAGUUUUGUUCUACUCAGUAAAUUUCUAUGUUUAUAUUUACACAUUUUCUGCAAUAUGUGUUACUUUUUAUCCCAUCUGCUUAACUUAUACUAAUUCUUUCUAGCCAGUCCAUUGUACUUUAAGUAGUUCAUGCUCUAGAUCUCUUGUCACCAUUUCUUUUUUUUUUCAUUAAUUUUUAUUCAAAUUUUCAAAGACAAAAAACAAAACAAAAACAAACAACAAAAUAAAAUGUUGACUUCCGAUUUGUCGCAGAUCAGUUAUAGGUCUACAAUAUAUAACAAUCCUAUCUCUAAAAUUAUAUUAUAGAAUCACUUUCCUCCAGUAGUUAUCUUAAUUAAUCAUCAAAUCUCAUAAACAUUAUUUUAUUCUUUCUACAAAAAGUCAAAGAGAGGUUUCAAUUCCUUGAGAGAUAUAUCUUUCGAUUUUUCUCCAAAUAAACAUGUCGCUUAAUUCAUCUGAUUCAAAUCUGUUAGUCCCAAUAAUUUCAAUAGCCAUUCUUCCAUUAUCUAUAUUAAUUCCAUCUUCCAUCUUCAAUAAUCCUGUUAAGUCCAGUAAUUUCAGUAGCCAUUCUUCCAUUAUCAGUAUCCCAUAAUAAUCUUGUUGUCAUAGCCAUAGUCCAAAUAAACAUAUUGAUUAAUCCAUCUCGUCAAAUCUGUUAAGUCCAUUAAUUUCCAUAACCAUUCUUCCAUUAUCAAUAUUCCAUCUUCCAUAGUCCUGUUAAAUCCAGUAGUUUCAGUGUCCAUUCAUCCAUUGUGUUAAAUCCAGUGGUUUCAGUAUCCAUUCAUCCAUUAUCAGUAUCCUAUGAUGAUCUUGCUGUCAUAGCCAUAGUCAUAUAACAAGAGUCUGAUGGGAAUUUCCCCCAUCACAAAUAUAUCCUUGCCAUCAAUUCUGAAUAUGUUGCUAUCUGUGCUCUGUCACAUAUUUGUAGUUAAUUUCAUAAAUUUUUUCUAUGACAAGCCCCAUCACAUCAUUCCAGUUAAGAAUUCUGAAUAUGUUGCUGAAAUAUUGCUGCAAAGUCAUAUCUCUGUUCUUCUUUUUUACAAAAUGCACUGGCUCAUCUCUUAAGAGUUUCUCCACUGUCACAUAUCUGUAGCCAACUCCAUAGAUUUUUUCAAUGUCAAGCUCCAUCACAUCAUUCCAGUCCAGAAAAUUAUCCAAGACAUUGAUAACUUUACCACCAAAAUCUUCAUUAAUUUCUUCAGAGACAACGUUGAAUUCCAAACAGUAAACUUUAUUUCUAACAUCCAAGUAUUUCUUGAAUGGCCACUUGAAAUAGCCUUCCGGCAGACCAAGCUGCCACUCUCCCUCAUCUGAAAUGGGAAGGUGGGGUACAGCAAUUAAGGACAGAUGCGAGUGUUGCAGCCCAGUCUACUUAUUUCUUCUGGUGUAACUUCCCUGAAAGAAGAUGACAGGAAGAAUAAUUGGAGUAGACCAGUUAGAUGAGAAGUCCUCCUCUUGCGCACAUGCACAGAUCUGUCUCUUGAGUUCUUUCAGAGCUCAUAUAAGGAGAAAAGGUUGGCAGCUAGAGACCAGACAACACUGGUUUGAAGGCUGGAACUAAUCUAUGGGCUACUAGUUGCCAGUCUGUUAUUUAAAUUCAGGUUUUUCAGCAGGGAGGUGAAGAUAUACUAUGGAAGAUGAAAGGGACUGAAAAGGCUAGAGUUGAAAUAGGCACCAACAUCAUCUAAGAGGCUAUGACUGGUGGGUGGCUGGGAAGGGUAAGGAGAGAAUUGUUUAAACCUCAUUUCUUAGUUUCAAAAACUUGUCACCAGCUUCCACUUUAAGAAAAAAAAUCCCCUUUGAGCUUCAUAGGUGAAAGGGAAUUUUGCCAUUUCCCCUGGGCUGACUUAUUUAGAAUUCAGGGUGAUAUGACAAGGAUGUAUAAUUCCCAUUGAAUACAAUAAACCAAUUUCAGGUUUG